UCCAUAGUACCACAACCUGAUAAUCAUCAGGCCAUGGCAAAGGUAACAGGGUUCCAUUUGUUGGUUUGAAUGUCCUUACUGGGCAUUGCAAUGGCAGACCAGAGUUGUUUACAACUUAGUAUUGUCUCGCCCCAAUGACACCAAAGCCAGAAGGCAGGACUAGAAGACAAGCCAGGUGUAAGGAGCAGAGAUCAAACCAGAAGGUAGGACAGCAGGAUUCAACCAGAAACACAAGACAUGCCAGAGCUCAGGUAACAUAAUGCUCAAGCAACAUCAUACUAAGAAAGGAAGUUCUCCUUCCUGCCCAGGAGGAGCCAAUGAUCAGUCUGUGCAGCUGUAGCCAGGUGGUGUGCUGAUCUACAGAGAGACCACUUGAUUAUUAUGUCAGUGGAAGAAAUGAAGAAACUGGAGAAGAUGAGACCUACUGAUCUCUCAGGAGUCAUUUUAUCAAAGUUGGAACUUGAAAAUCAAUUCUCAAAUGCAAUUCAAAAUACAACGUUUGAGAGAGGAAGUGAUUCUCUACACAAGCAUUUUCCCAAAGCUGUGCACAGCCAGAUGGGUGAAGCUGCCUUUUGAAGAGAUCCAAAGUAAAUAUUAUACCCAGAGACAAGCAAAAAUAUACAUAAACGCACCCUAGGAAAUGCAAUCCUCAGCAAGUUUAGCAAAUGCUGUAAUUAUGUCUGCAUCCCGUAAAAAGACCUAGUAUAUUUUUUGAGUUCUUGCAGUUAACAGGAAUGGAAAGCAAACUUUGGAAUCCAAAUUGCUAUGUCGGCAGUUGCUUCUGCCAAUGAUUCACCUUCAGCUAAAACAAUACUUUGGAUUGCAAGUUCCCUUCUGAGGGCUUUUAUUCAGAUGCUUUUUCUUUUUUAUUAUUUAAAAAUACAGUUCUUCAUAUGUUUAAAAGCACAGUUUAUUAAAAUACUGAACAUCAAAAUGGCUAUAUCAAAAUGCAAAAUAUUUAAUUCUAGUAAUGGGGUAUGUAAUUACAGAGCUAUAUAUACAAACAGUAUAUAAUUACGGAGUAGUAUUUAUUUAUUAUUUUAUUUAUUUAAAAAGAUUUAUAUACUGCUUGAUUGUAAUGAAACCUCAAAGCCAUUUGACAUAUAAAGGUAUUACCUUGUGAGAAAAUGUAUUAGUUUGGGGGAAUUGUGUGUGAGAGAGAGACCAGAAACUUAAUCUAUAAUAAGUCCCACUGAACUCAAUACCAUAAACCUAAUACCCAAUACCAUAGAAAUCUGAUGCAGGAAACCCAAAUGCUGCUACUGAUGUUGGCAGCAUUCUCUGCAUUAGCACUGGGCAAUAGCACCCUACCUAGAGUAGUACCCAUUUCCUAUCUAUCCCACCUACAGCACUGACACAUUUUCUAAUUUUUACCAUCUGGACCCUUGUCUCAUGGAUGCACAAAGAUGAGGAUUCUACACAUUCUUUCUAGGCUCAUGUUUCUGAGUCUGGCAUCUUAUAUGCCAAACUUUAUCCUCAACUAAGUGAGUCCUAUUAUUGACAGCAGACAACUGGCUAGUAAACCUAGAAAAAGAAACCCUACCCAUGAUACUUCUUGGGACUGAAGAUGAAGCAGGAAAUAUAAAAAUAGAGUCAUAGGGGAAAAUACAAACAUAUUUAUUUAUUUUUAUAUUAAGGUCUGGUUUAGACUAGAAAUACAAAUAGCUGGCCAUAGCCAGUGCAAAAAUUGUGUAUACAUGAUUUAGGAAGAAUCUGACCUUAGCCAGUAACUUAGGACAUACAAUGCUAACAAGCAUACAGCUGGCUUGAUAAUAAUUAAA